rnacentral:rRNA from 1 species
UCGAGAAUCAUUCACAAUGCGCGAAAGCGUGAUGAUGCGACGCCGCGUGGAGGAUGAAGGCCUUCGGGUUGUAAACUCCUGUCAUGAGGGAACAACAAACCCCGGUUAAUACCCGGGGGGAGAGAUGGUACCUCAGGAGGAAGCCACGGCUAACUCUGUGCCAGCAGCCGCGGUAAUACAGAGGUGGCGAGCGUUGUUCGGAUUUACUGGGCGUAAAGGGUGCGUAGGCGGUUCGGUAUGUCAGGCGUGAAAUCUCACCGUCCAACGGUGAAACUGCGUUUGAAACUGCCGGACUAGAGUACAGGAGGGGAGAGCGGAAUUCUCGGUGUAGCGGUGAAAUGCGUGGAUAUCGAGAAGAACACCGGCGGCGAAGGCGGCUCUCUGGACUGAUACUGACGCUGAGGCACGAAAGCUGGGGGAGCGAACAGGAUUAGAUACCCCGGUAGUCC